GCCUGUGGGUUGUAAACCUCUUUUCUCAAGGAAGAAGUUCUGACGGUACUUGAGGAAUAAGCAUCGGCUAACUCUGUGCCAGCAGCCGCGGUAAUACAGAGGAUGCAAGCGUUAUCCGGAAUCACUGGGCAUAAAGCGUCUGUAGGUUGCUUAUCAAGUCUGCUGUUAAAGACCAGGGCCUAACCCUGGGAAAGCAGUGGAAACUAGUAGGCUUGAGUGUGGUAGAGGUAGAGGGAAUUCCUGGUGUAGCGGUGAAAUGCGUAGAUAUUAGGAAGAACACCAACGGCGAAAGCACUCUACUGGGCCAUAACUGACACUGAGAGACGACAGCUAGGGGAGCAAAUGGGAUUAGAUACCCCAGUAGUCCUAGCCGU
rnacentral:rRNA from 1 species